rnacentral:lncRNA from 1 species
GAUACAGAAAAAGGAUAAUGCCAAGUUCAGCUUGGGAUAGAAUGUGCAACUAGAUUGUAAUGGUAUAGUUUGUAAUAGUAUAGUUUAUGAUUUGUGUAUUAGUUAAGGUUACUCGAUUUUGGGGAAUAGUGUGUAAAAUAUAAUGUAUAAACAAUUUAUGUUUAUAUCUUCCGCAACAGUUGUAGAAUGUUUAGUGUACCGAAUCCGCGGCGAUUUGGGGUCCGGAUUCCGGGGAUGCUACACUAUUUAUAGGAAAAUGCUAGAAUACCAAAGCAG